AUUGAACGCUGGCGGCAGGCCUAACACAUGCAAGUCGAGCGAGCGGCGGACGUGUGAGUAAUUUCUGUCAAACUGCCUGCUUGAUGGGGAUAACUACUGGAAACGGUAGCUAAUACCGCAUACCAUCAAAUGUGCCCAGAUGGGAUUAGCUAGUAGGUGGGGUAACGUCUCACCUAGGCUACGAUCCCUAGCUGGUCUGAGAGGAUGCCCAGACACACUGGAACGGAGACAGGGUCCAGACUCCUACGGGAGGCAGCAGUAGGGAAUAUUGCACAAUGGGCGCCAGCCUGAUGCAGCCAUGCCGCGUGUAUGAAGAAGGACUUCGGGUUGUAAAGUACUUUCAGCAGGGAGGCGUUACCCGCAGAAGUAGCACCGGCUAAACCCGUGACAGCAGCCGCGGUAAUAC
rnacentral:rRNA from 1 species